ACGAACGCUGGCGGCGUGCUUAACACAUGCAAGUCGAACGGAAAGGCCCUGCUUUUGUGGGGUGCUCGAGUGGCGAACGGGUGAGAAACACGUGAGUAACCUGCCCUUGACUUUGGGAUAACUUCAGGAAACUGGGGCUAAUACCGGAUAGGAGCUCCUGCUGCAUGGUGGGGGUUGGAAAGUUUCGGCGGUUGGGGAUGGACUCGCGGCUUAUCAGCUUGUUGGUGGGGUAGUGGCUUACCAAGGCUUUGACGGGUAGCCGGCCUGAGAGGGUGACCGGCCACAUUGGGACUGAGAUACGGCCCAGACUCCUACGGGAGGCAGCAGUGGGGAAUAUUGCACAAUGGGCGGAAGCCUGAUGCAGCAACGCCGCGUGCGGGAUGACGGCCUUCGGGUUGUAAACCGCUUUCGCCUGUGACGAAGCGUGAGUGACGGUAAUGGGUAAAGAAGCACCGGCUAACUACGUG
rnacentral:rRNA from 1 species